UUCGCCCUUAGAGCUUUAUCCUGGCUCAGGACGAACGCUGGCGGCGUGCUUAACACAUGCAAGUCGAACGAAGCUUGAUUUAUGAUUUCUUCGGAAUGAAUAAUGAUAUGACUGAGUGGCGGACGGGUGAGUAACGCGUGAGCAACCUGCCCUUCGGAGGGGGAUAGCGUCUGGAAACGGACGGUAAUACCGCAUAAAGUGUCUUGACCGCAUGAUCGAGAUACCAAAACUGAGGUGCCGAAGGAUGGGCUCGCGUUGGAUUAGAUAGUUGGUGGGGUAACGGCCUACCAAGUCGACGAUCCAUAGCCGGACUGAGAGGUUGAUCGGCCACAUUGGGACUGAGACACGGCCCAGACUCCUACGGGAGGCAGCAGUGGGGAAUAUUGCACAAUGGGGGAAACCCUGAUGCAGCGACGCCGCGUGGAGGAAGAAGGUCUUCGGAUUGUAAACUCCUGUUGUUGAGGAAGAUAAUGACGGUACUCAACAAGGAAGUGACGGCUAACUACGUGCCAGCAGCCGCGGUAAAACGUAGGUCACAAGCGUUGUCCGGAAUUACUGGGUGUAAAGGGAGCGCAGGCGGGAAGACAAGUUGGAAGUGAAAUCUAUGGGCUCAACCCAUAAACUGCUUUCAAAACUGUUUUUCUUGAGUAGUGAGAGGUAGGCGGAAUUCCCGGUGUAGCGGUGGAAUGCGUAGAUAUCGGGAGGAACACCAGUGGCGAAGGCGGCCUACUGGGCACCAACUGACGCUGAGGCUCGAAAGUGUGGGUAGCAAACAGGAUUAGAUACCCUGGUAGUCCACACUGUAAACGAUGAUUACUAGGUGUUGGAGGAUUGACCCCUUCAGUGCCGCAGUUAACACAAUAAGUAAUCCACCUGGGGAGUACGACCGCAAGGUUGAAACUCAAAGGAAUUGACGGGGGCCCGCACAAGCAGUGGAGUAUGUGGUUUAAUUCGACGCAACGCGAAGAACCUUACCAAGUCUUGACAUCCUGCGACGGUGCUGGAAACAGUACUUUCCUUCGGGACGCAGAGACAGGUGGUGCAUGGUUGUCGUCAGCUCGUGUCGUGAGAUGUUGGGUUAAGUCCCGCAACGAGCGCAACCCUUAUGGUCAGUUACUACGCAAGAGGACUCUGGCCAGACUGCCGUUGACAAAACGGAGGAAGGUGGGGAUGACGUCAAAUCAUCAUGCCCUUUAUGACUUGGGCUACACACGUACUACAAUGGCGUUAAACAAAGAGAAGCAAGACCGCGAGGUGGAGCAAAACUCAGAAACAACGUCCCAGUUCGGACUGCAGGCUGCAACUCGCCUGCACGAAGUCGGAAUUGCUAGUAAUCGCAGAUCAGCAUGCUGCGGUGAAU
rnacentral:rRNA from 1 species